rnacentral:rRNA from 1 species
GCGGUUUUGGAUGGGCGUGCGCCUGAUUAGGUAGUUGGUAGGGUAACGGCCUACCAAGCCUUCGAUCAGUAACUGGUGUGAGAGCACGACCAGUCACACGGGCACUGAGACACGGGCCCG